rnacentral:rRNA from 1 species
GAUGAACGCUAGCGGCAGGCCUACCACAUGCAAGUCGAGAGGUAACUAGAGUGAUAGCAAUAUUACUUUGGCUAGACCGGCGCACGGGUGCGUAACACGUAUGCAACCUACCUUAUACUGGGGAAUAACUUCGAGAAAUCGGCGCUAAUACCCCAUAACAUUGCGAAGAGGCAUCUCUUUGCAAUUAAAGCUCCGGCGGUAUAAGAUGGGCAUGCGUCCAAUUAGCUAGUUGGUGAGGUAACGGCUCACCAAGGCGACGAUUGGUAGGGGUUUUGAGAGGAUGAUCCCCCACACUGGUACUGAGACACGGACCAGACUCCUACGGGAGGCAGCAGUGAGGAAUAUUGCGCAAUGGACGAAAGUUUGACGCAGCCAUGCCGCGUGCAGGAUGACGGCCCUAUGGGUUGUAAACUGCUUUUGUGCGGGAAUAAACCCUUCUACGUGUAGGAGGCUGAAGGUACCGUAAGAAUAAGCACCGGCUAACUCCGUGCCAGCCGCCGCAGUAAAAC